rnacentral:sRNA from 1 species
AAGUCCACUGCACAUGACAGCUGUCCAUGGAAGGUUCACACGGUCACAGACCCUCAUUCAGAAUGGAGGUGAAAUUGACUGUGUGGAUAAGGACGGCAACACUCCUCUCCAUGUGGCUGCAAGAUACGGUCAUGAGCUUUUGAUUAACACCUUAAUAACCAGCGGAGCUGACACAGCCAAGUGUGGAAUCCAUAGCAUGUUCCCUUUACAUUUAGCUGCCCUAAAUGCUCACUCUGACUGCUGCAGAAAGUUGUUAUCAUCGGGCUUUGAAAUAGACACCCCAGAUAAA